rnacentral:rRNA from 1 species
UGGGGAAUAUUGCACAAUGGGCGCAAGCCUGAUGCAGCCAUGCCGCGUGUGUGAAGAAGGCCUUCGGGUUGUAAAGCACUUUCAGCGAGGAGGAAGGUGGUGAACUUAAUACGUUCAUCAAUUGACGUUACUCGCAGAAGAAGCACCGGCUAACUCCGUGCCAGCAGCCGCGGUAAUACGGAGGGUGCAAGCAUUAAUCGGAAUUACUGGGCGUAAAGCGCACGCAGGCGGUUUGUUAAGUCAGAUGUGAAAUCCCCCGGGGCUCAACCUGGGAACUGCAUUUGAAACUGGCAAGCUAGAGUCCCGUAGAGGGGGGUAGAAUUCCAGGUGUAGCGGUGAAAUGCGUAGAGAUCUGGAGGAAUACCGGUGGCGAAGGCGGCCCCCUGGACGAAGACUGACGCUCAGGUGCGAAAGCGUGGGGAGCAAACAGGAUUAGAUACCCUGGUAGUCCAGCGCUGUAAACGAUGUCGAUUUGGAGGUUGUGCCCUUGAGGCGUGGCUUCCGGAGCUAACGCGUUAAA